rnacentral:lncRNA from 1 species
UGCUAUUUCUGGACAAGGAGCCAGGCCUGAGACGGCACUUUCUGGGCUUCCCCUCGCUCUGCAGGGUCUCUCGCUGGGUUCUGAGAGCUCAACCCUCCUGUGGGACACAGCUGGGAGGCUUCAUCGAGGGGGCAUCUGCAGCAGGCAGGCUGUGGUCUGAGGCUGUGCAAAGCAGGGCCCGAGCAGCUCCGGGACAGAAUGCACGGAACUGCAAGCCCAACUCCACACCACUGCUGCCCUUUGCUUUUCUAGAAGCACCGCCUGGGCUGCUCCGGUAACAGCCAGGAGAUGACGGGAGCAGGAGGCCAGGGAGGAAGCAAAGAUCAGCUCUGUGAAACCAUGACGGCAGAGCCAGAUGCCUGCAGCCACGCACAGCCCCAGUGCCCUUGAGGAUGAAGGCUGUGGGUCCCGGCAGGAUCUGGAGGCGGAGGCUGAGCUGUCAUUGACACAGAUUCUUGGUCCUCUCCGCCGGAGCUCCCAGAACGCAGGGAAACGCGCUCGCUGCGUCAGUGGAAAGGCGGUGACCUGCUGGCCCAGGAGGAGGCGCCCAGAGCAGGGCGCCAGCGUCCGGCCUCCCGGCUGCCCCAGCCUCCGGGUCGCUGCAUGCUCCGCUUCUCAAAGCCUCCUAACCCGGCCCCGUGGAGUUUUUACAGACGCUCCUUGGCACACGC